rnacentral:rRNA from 1 species
UACGGAGGGAGCUAGCGUUCUUCGGAAUUACUGGGCGUAAAGCGCACGUAGGCGGCUUUGUAAGUAAGAGGUGAAAGCCCAGAGCUCAACUCUGGAAUUGCCUUUUAGACUGCAUCGCUUGAAUCAUGGAGAGGUCAGUGGAAUUCCGAGUGUAGAGGUGAAAUUCGUAGAUAUUCGGAAGAACACCAGUGGCGAAGGCGGCUGACUGGACAUGUAUUGACGCUGAGGUGCGAAAGCGUGGGGAGCAAACAGG